CUGCCACCCAGAAAGGCAGCCAGCCACCUGUUCGGGGGCCCUUCCCCCCCCCCAUAUUGAGCCUCACAGACAAUCACGGUCACAUGCUUGCUCAUGGUGGGGUCUCCCUUCCCUGCGAUUUCUCCCUGUAUUUCUGGGAGGUAUGUGUUUACUUCUCUUUUUCCUUUUUGCCCGCCAUUUAACUCUCGUCCUGGGAAAGCUUGGUUAAGAGAACGCAGUUGGUGCGUGGGUUCCUGCCGCCUUGCAACCUUCUCUCUCCAGAAGCCUAGGAAGGGCUUCCAUCUGCGAGUCCCCCGUGACAACGGCCUGCCUUCCCUCGUUGCCAUCAAGGUACAAGCACGGACUCCAGUCGGUCAGCUGCUGGCUGGGUUUUUCACGGACCCUUUGCCCUGCUGUUUCUUUCCUUGUGCAAAAUCCCCGGUGCCAGCCCACCAGAAGGUCAUAGCAACAAGCAACCGUGUUCUCAGUGCUCCUUUUCUAGCAUUUUCCCUCCCCCAUCAGUCUCUCCAGAGUCCUAUCUUCACAGCCGGAGGCCUCACCAACCUCAGUUUCACCGAGAGCUGAGCUAAGAAGCUGUUGAUUCCCAUCUGGAAUGCAUUUAACGUUGCCUGUUUGCAGAACACAAUAUUUAAAGGGUGUGGAUGGAUGAGUGCUAAAGCAAAUCAUUUACAGACCUCAUGAAAAAUGAUUAGGUCCAUCUCUGAUUUUUUUUUUAAUGAGGAUUUGUGUUUAGAAAUAUCAACUUCUUUAUUGUCAAAUGCUCCUAAAAUGUAAUCUAACGGCAAGUUUGACCAGAGGCUAGGAUCGUAUGUUAAAAAGGAACUGAAAGAAGUAAUAUCUGGGGUUCGUGAGCCUAUUCUCUACCAUAUUCUCCAGCAAAACCCCCAAUAGCCUGAAUUGUCUAACUUCAGUCGGCUAGAGGAGGGCAGUGUAUAAUUGUUCAUCCUCCGAUUUUUGAAACUUGGACUGCUACCCAGGACCAAAUAGGUACUCUGUGUGCCCAGUUAUACUUUUCCAAGAUAAGACACAAUCACUGUUAAUCCUAACGUAGCUUUAGGUUAUGAAUAGAAAGUCAAAUCUCACUGUCUAAACAGGGCUUCUCAAAACCUAGCAGGGGAUAAAAUUCGCCACAGCUUUGCUAAGCCACUCCGUGUCUUACGGCGGAAAAAGAUCUUUGUAGAAAUGUUGACUUUCGGUUUUUGCACCCUGAUAACUAGAAUUUAGAAUGGGACCUAAUCAUUGCUUUUGUUUUUGGAAAGCUG